rnacentral:lncRNA from 1 species
AUGCAGGGCCUGUCUCUCCUCCCGUGCGCUGGUCCUGUCCCCAGGCAUUGGGCUGCUUCCUGGGGAUGGGCUGAGGUUGGGACGUGGGUCCAGCUUGGUGAGGCCCAUGGCCUAGUAAGGCGAUGCUGUGGGGAGCUGGAGACCAGCACUGGCACAGAGACAGACAACCCUGCAGGCUGCAAUGAGAUCCUGUGCCACCAGCAAGUUGGAGAAGGCUCCAGAGUGCAGGGCAGCCUUGUUUCCAUUGACUUGAGACCUUUAUGUUUUUGAAAAGCUGUGAAGCACAUUGCCAGUCUUGGCUGGAGUGUCCUGCCACGCUCACUGUAUAGUCCAGUUUUGGCACCUUCUGACUUCCAUCUGUUCAGACCAAUGAAAGAUGGACUGUGGAGGCAACAUUUUCCCAGCAACGAUUCCAUCACAACAGCUGUGAAACAGUGAGUCACCUCCUCUGGGACGGGCUUUUAAGGGCACGACAUGUGGGCUUUUGUUCAUUGAUGGUAGAAAUGCAC